rnacentral:rRNA from 1 species
GACAGAGGGUGCAAACGUUGCUCGGAAUCACUGGGCGUAAAGGGCGUGUAGGCGGGAAGGAUAGUCAGAUGUGAAAUCCCUGGGCUCAACCCAGGAACUGCAUUUGAAACUCCCUUUCUUGAGUGUCGGAGAGGAAAGCGGAAUUCCUGGUGUAGAGGUGAAAUUCGUAGAUAUCAGGAGGAACACCGGUGGCGAAGGCGGCUUUCUGGACGACAACUGACGCUGAGACGCGAAAGCGUGGGGAGCAAACGGG